rnacentral:rRNA from 1 species
GGGGAUAAGUCGGGGAACUGAAACAUCUCAGUACCCGGAGGAAAGGACAUCAAUUGAGACUCCCUUAGUAGCGGCGAGCGAACGGGGACCAGGCCUGGUCUGAAAUAAAGCAAAGCAUCUGGAAAGUUGCGCCAUAGUGGGUGAUAGCCCCGUAGCUGUAAAAUGAAGACCUUUUUGAGUAGGGCGGGACACGUGAAAUCCUGUCUGAACAUGGGGGGACCACCCUCCAAGCCUAAGUACUCCUUACCGACCGAUAGUGAACUAGUACCGUGAGGGAAAGGCGAAAAGAACCCCUGUGAGGGGAGUGAAAUAGAUCCUGAAACCGC